AUGGAACAUUCCAUCCCUUUUUCCCGUGCAUAUGCAUCGGACUCGGAUGACGAUGGUCCCGAUGAACAAGUUGAUGCGGAGGGGUUCACGGUGAAGGUGGCCGAAGCUUUCGAGAAGGUAUUUGGUCGGGAUCAUCGGACUACAUUGUUCAAGGAUGUUAGUCUCGCGGAUGAAGCCGUGGUUGAUGGUGGCCAAUGUGUACCUCUUGGGGUUAGGCCAAGCUCUCAC
rnacentral:rRNA from 1 species